rnacentral:misc_RNA from 1 species
UCCGGUUUGUCACCGGCAGUCUCCCUAGAGUGCCCUUGCGUAGCAACUAGGGACAAGGGUUGCGCUCGUUGCGGGACUUAACCCAACAUCUCACGACACGAGCUGACGACAACCAUGCACCACCUGUCACCGCUGUCCCCGAAGGGAAAAGUGUAUCUCUACACCGGGCAGCGGGAUGUCAAGACCUGGUAAGGUUCUUCGCGUUGCUUCGAAUUAAACCACAUGCUCUACCGCUUGUGCGGGCCCCCGUCAAUUCCUUUGAGUUUCAACCUUGCGGCCGUACUUCCCAGGCGGAAUACUUAAUGCGUUAGCUGCGGCACCGGCGGUAACCCGCCGACACUUAGUAUUCAUAGUUUAAGGCGUGGACUAC